UCAUUUCGAAGAAGUUCUUGGGAUGUAGGAUCUCCCUCUUGUGUCUUUUCUGCUGUUUCAUCUGCACUGAGGGUCACAUUGGCAUCAGGAGCAGGUUCCUGGACUAAACCGACAGUAGGUGGUUCGACAGGUUUGUCAUCUGUUACUAAUGGAUCAAUGGAAGAUGCCUUGUUGCUGUCUUCAGCUUCAACUGAAUUGAUGUUUCGAGUGUUCUUGUACAAAUUCAAAUUUACACCUUCCAAACUCUCAUUCCUCACCUCACCAAUCAAACCAACACCGUCAGAAGCUUUUACCUCUUCAGAAUUUCCAGCUACUUCAUUUUCAACAUUUACAGUAUUAUCUUGCUCAACAUUUUUAACAGUCACUUCUGGCUCCACAGCACAUUCAGGAACUUCAGUGGCAGGAGUGGUAUCAGACGCCUCUACAACACAUGUGACUGACACUUCUUUCUCUUCUGCAGAUUCCUUGUUGUGCUCAUCAGCAUUGUGAUCAUCGUCUGCCUUUUCAGUCGACAAUUUGGGAACAAUAUUUUCUCCUUCAAUCUCUUUAUUCUCAUCUAUAGAAGGAACUAUACCAAUUCCUUCCGAACUUACCAUUUCAACAGUUUCAUUAACCUGAUUGAUUGGAUCUUCAGUACCGGAUAAUGAGGUUUCGUUUCGAGGAAGUUCUUGUGACGUAGGCUCUCCCUCUUGGGACUUUUCUGCUGUUUCCUUUGCAUUGAGGGUCACAUUGGAAUCGGAAGCAGGUUCCUGGACUAAACCAACAGUAGGUGGUUCAACAGGUUUGUCAUCUGUUACUAAUGGAUCAAUGGAAGAUGCCUUGUUGCUGUCUUCCGCUUCAACUAAAUCGAUAUUUCGAGUGUUCUUGUAC
rnacentral:lncRNA from 1 species